UACGUAGGGGCCGAGCGUUGUCCGGAGUUAUUGGGCGUAAAGCGCGCGCAGGCGGCCUCGCGCGCCCGACGUGAAAGCCCCCGGCUUAACCGGGGAGGGUCGUUGGGGACGGCGGGGCUUGAGGGCGGGAGAGGGUGGUGGAAUUCCCGGUGUAGUGGUGAAAUGCGUAGAGAUCGGGAGGAACACCCGUGGCGAAGGCGGCCACCUGGGCCGACACUGACGCUGAGGCGCGAAGGCGUGGGGAGCGAACGGG
rnacentral:rRNA from 1 species